UACGUAGGGGCCUAGCGUUGUCCGGAUUUAUUGGGCGUAAAGAGCUCGUAGGCGGUUCGGUAAGUCAGGUGUGAAAUCUCCACGCUCAACGUGGAGGCGCCACCUGAAACUGCCGUGACUCGAGUCCGGUAGGGGAGUGUGGAAUUCCCGGUGUAGCGGUGAAAUGCGCAGAUAUCGGGAGGAACACCAGUGGCGAAAGCGACUCUCUGGACGGCAACUGACGCUGAGGCACGAAAGCGUGGGGAGCAAACAGG
rnacentral:rRNA from 1 species